GGUCCUGGUGAUCGAGAGGUAUUCGAUUGUGGGAUGGCGUGAGGGCCGAGAUCAUACCUGAGGGGGACAAAUUGGAGCUUUUCUUGGAGGAUGGCAGGGUGAGUUACGAGCUGGAGGUCACGGUUGGCGACAUUCUUGCCACCUUCGGGUGUCGGUUGGCUGGUUCCGAAUUCCAUUCGUUCACAAGGUUUUCCGAUCUCUGGAGGCGCGCCUUCCAUCCUGGUCUUUGCUUGCGGGGCCCGAAUCCCGAGAUAGAGGCUGCAUUAUGUGCUUCUCAAAAAAGCCGAAGUAUGAAAGAAAUGGCUUGGUAUCAUUGAGGAGACCCGGAUUGAGCAAUGAAGAGUAUGCACUGCAGUGCGAAGUAGCAAUUGUAUAGCUUGAUGACAGAAUAUCCAGACAGACUAAUAUACUUCCAGUGACCUUUUAUAAGAGCUCCUGGCAGCAGAACCAUGCUCAUAUGAAGCAGUAUUAGAGCCCAAGAUGCAUGUUGAAGUGUAGAGAGCUCAUGAGUAAGAGUGAACUACUGAAUUUCAAUGUCGAUAAAGUUUGUCAUUACAUAUGUUUGCUCGGUUCUGUACUUAUAUCCGAAUAAUUUUCUUUCCUUUAAUCUCAGAUAAUUGAAAAAAAAUCUGGUUCGUUUUCACGGCAAAAAGUCUGUUUGGAAGAUUUUUGCCAGAUCUGAUUAA